UUUGUAAACUGUGUUUAACAAUCGAUUACAUCGUUAACAGUGUCGACAGUGAUUAUAGCGAUGUUCAAUAUACUAACAAAAAUGAUGAUGUUAAAUUAAAGUAGACUUGUAAACACUACGAUAAUCAAUGAAUGUUAUGAAGAAGAACAAAAAAGAUCUUGAUUAGGUGUUUAAUAUACAAUGCGUGCAAUAUUUUUGGGCAGUGACUUGUGAAUCUUUUUAAAAAUUCAAAAUCGUAAACGCACCCCAACAUAUUUCCUUCUUGAUUAAAUAUUUCUUCUCUAAACUGAAUCACCACUACCAAACUGACAAAGAAUCCCGCCAUUUUCUCCUUGAAGUUGGUUGCAGUUUAUUUUUUUUUAAACGUUUAUCCUCUUUACGAGUGAAACUAGCAAAACCCACCUACUACAUGGUUAUUUCUGUCACAAUUUUUAUAUGAUACAACCACGUGUUACAAGGAGAAACAGAAUGUAGUUAAUCACUUUACUUGCAGAAAAAAAAAAUCCCUAUAAUUCAC